rnacentral:tRNA from 1 species
GUCGGGGUGGCGGAAUUGGUAGACGCGCUAGAUUCAGGAUCUAGUGGGCGAAAGCCUGUGGGGGUUCAAAUCCCCCCCUCGACACCA